GCUCCUAGUACGAGAGGACCGGAGUGGACGCAUCACUGGUGUUCGGGUUGUCAUGCCAAUGGCACUGCCCGGUAGCUAAAUGCGGAAGAGAUAAGUGCUGAAAGCAUCUAAGCACGAAACUUGCCCCGAGAUGAGUUCUCCCUGACCCUUUAAGGGUCCUGAAGGAACGUUGAAGACGACGACGUUGAUAGGCCGGGUGUGUAAGCGCAGCGAUGCGUUGAGCUAACCGGUACUAAUGAACCGUGAGGCUUAACCUU
rnacentral:rRNA from 1 species